UAGUCCCAGCUCAUGCUGUCCCUGGCCCUGUGCUCAGCUUUGACAGGGCUUGUGUGGCAGGACACACGGCAGUCUCCCUCUCAGGUUAGGAGGGCCAUAUGUAGUAUAGGGCUGGCUCGUGAAGGCACAAGAGGACACU
rnacentral:snoRNA from 1 species